ACUUUGCCCUCCCUACUCCCCUCCCCUAUUUAAUGGGCCCCAGGAAAGGCAGAAGGUUCAAGCUUGCCCAACUGGGCAGAGGGAUCCUUCUCCCGUCGUGACUGUAGAUCCAGGUGUGUGGCAUGUAUAUCCUCUCCACCGGAAGACUAUGAUGUUCACUUUGAGGAUUCCUGAAGACUGUCUGCUUCUCAAGCUGAAUAAAGGAGCAGAAAGCUUGUGGGAGGAACCAAGCUUUUGUGAACAUUGAUUAUUUUUUCAUCACAGAAAAACUCCUUGACUUCCAGAAAUUUCCUCUGAAAAAAGCUGUACAAGCUGAGAUUGAUCUAUGAGAGGUCAUUAAGAGGUCUAUAGUCAUAAGUCAAAACCAUUUCAUCUACUGACUUCUGCUGAAGGAUAUGCACUGCCUGUAUAUUGUCCUGUAUGUCUUACACAGGAACACGUCUUCACCCUAAUAUUUUGUCCCUCUUGCCAUUGAAAAGACAGAAAAUUACAUUUCUGGAAACAUUUGAUGUAUUUAAUCAUAGUAAUAAUGUGAUAUUAAAGUGAUUACAGGCUCCUAUUCA